rnacentral:lncRNA from 1 species
AGACAUUCGAAGCAGUGUGGCAAAGAGUUAACAGAACCACGAAACACACGUUGCACGAUUUCAAGUAGGCAAAGACAAGAUGGCCGUGACGCUUCUCUUUCGUCGGUUCGUUCGCUGUAAGGCAAACAAACUUCUUGAGAAUUCGUGGUCUAGAGAGCUCAGGGCGUACGAUAUCACCGGAUAGACGUUGGAUGACAUUAAAUAAUUGCCCUCUCGAUGCUCCACUUUCAGGACCAGUUAUCCGAUACCUCGUCACGUGUAUCGAUAUGUAAACACUUUGGUUCGAUUGACUGCGAUCAACGAGUUAAUGCGCAGCGGGUCAUUGGAUCGAUAACACUAUGAUAAGAACUUCCCUUGUAAAUAUUACAAAGCGACGUCUUACGUUAUUGACUACGAAAUUCAUAAUGAAUUAUAUAUUUCGUGCAUAUCUACACAAUAAUCUAACAAUCUAAUUUAAUAAAAGAAAAUAAUACUUUUUCUCCUGUAAUAGACGAUAAUAGUUUCAGCAGAUGCGAUAAGACACUUCGACUCUUUGGCGUAAUUGUAAAUAACGAUAACAAGCUGACUUAACGCCAUUGAAAAAAUAAAGUACGGAUAAUUUUUAUUCCAUUCUUAUUCAAGAAUCAAUAACAACGAAAUAUCCACGGAUAAUCGAUGAUGUACGAAUUCCAAGAGGAACCUAAAACAGAAAAUGGAGGGCGGUUCUAUGAUCGGGCGGAGCAUAGCUCUAACUUCUCGUUGGUCAACAGGUGAACCAAUCGUUUCUUCGAGCUUUUUCGUACCGUCUGCAAGCGUGUAUCCUGAAAUUGUAAAACUCGUUGCUUGCGAGUUAGUCGCUUCUGUAGAUACCAUUGAAAUAAAAAAAUUGUAGUUUUCCACCCAAAAAUGAA